rnacentral:rRNA from 1 species
UACGUAGGGUGCAAGCGUUGUCCGGAAUUAUUGGGCGUAAAGAGCUUGUAGGCGGUUUGUCGCGUCUGCUGUGAAAUUUCGGGGCUCAACUCCGGAUCUGCGGUGGGUACGGGCAGACUAGAGUGAUGUAGGGGAGACUGGAAUUCCUGGUGUAGCGGUGGAAUGCGCAGAUAUCAGGAGGAACACCGGUGGCGAAGGCGGGUCUCUGGGCAGUAACUGACGCUGAGGAGCGAAAGCGUGGGGAGCGAACAGG